ensembl:lncRNA
AAGAUGCAAUGUAGGCAUCUUCUGGUUUCUCAAACUUCCAUUGUAUUAGAAUCACUUGGGGCACUUGGUAAAAAUAACGUCUUGGGUCCUUCAAUGAACCUGUCUCUUUAUCAGCUUUCAGGUGAUUCCCACACACACACCAGAGUUUGAUAACUGCUGCUUUAGAAGAUGGCUAAAAAUAGCUUAGGCUUAAGUAGUCUCAGGCUAACUCAUACACUGUUAACCCCCCACCCUGCCAGGGGCAGGCCCAAUCUGCCAACCGCAGGACAGAUUCUUCCAGACUUCUGUAAGAGGGCGCUGCAGCCAUAGGCCAGCACUAGGCAACAGCCCUGCAGCCCAGUGAGUCCAGUGAGGGCAUGGGGCAUGACUGGAGACUGAGGCAUCGGAGGAGGAGGAGCAGUGAGCAUGGCCUGGGAAGGAGCUGGCAGCAAGCAGCACAGAGGAUGCGAUUCUACUGAUGAGAAUCUGUGUGUGAUAAGAAUAACUUGAUACAAAGAGCUUGAAACUCUGACCUUGGAAAAAAAAAUUAAUUUUAUUGAAGGACACAAAGACUUGAAUUUGUAUUUUCACCUGGUCUUCACAAAGAUGCUUCAGAUGGGUAUUAUUUCAUCCUUUUAUGCCUGGAGAUCAGUACAGCAAUUUGGCUGGACAGCAAGAAAAGCUACUUCUCAAAUUCAUGCCAAGGCACUCAAAGGAUGUGACAGGAAGAAAAGAGAGAUAGCCGUUCUGACACCAAAUUUGAGUGCCAGUCAUUCCAUUGUCUGGGGAACAGCCAGCAAUAGACAAACGUAAUUAACUACUAAUGAAUGCAACUUUAUCUGGUACCUUCGGAAGGUGGCGUCUGUUUUAAGAAAAAUCACCCCUGGAGAAAUAAGUGUUGACUGACCGCUGUCACAAGGAGAGGGUCAUAAAUUGUCAGCAGGCCCCCCUGGCCAGAAGAUGAUGUAACACCCCUAAGACCUCUGUAUACAUUUGUAUGAAGCACCUGACUUUGAUAAAAGUUAGGACUGCUGACCCCGCGUGACUUUUGUAUAACAUCUCAGUGUAUAAAAACAGACUCUGGAAAAUAAAGAAUUGGGAUCAGUUCCUCGAAAUACUGGUCUCCCCAUGUCGUUCUCUCUCUCUCAAACUCUGGCUGAGUCUCCAUCUGGAGCGCGGAGCCCGCCGUGCUUACUAAUUAUGCCUGGGCUUCUAAGAUCCGACCGGGGAGGCCUCAGUGUCUCCUCUCCUUUGGGAGAACGGAAGGAUGUCUGCGGCCUAUGUAAGUGGUGCAAGCUUCUUGUCUUGAAGUUUUAUUGGUUUCCCACAUAAACCAAGCUACUCAGCCUCUUUUCUCCACUGAAUUUUCCUGCUGAGCUAUCCUCAUUCUUUUACUCUUUAUAUCUCUAAUUAAUAUUUAAAUAAGUUGCUGAUGCCGUCCCUGGUUCGAAUACACUGGAUCAACUGGGGCUGGACCCUGGCAUAUUUCCUCUCUGCUCCACAAUGCUCUUUGUCAUUUCCCUCUCUGUUGCUUACUUCUCACUACCUGCAUCAGCCUCAUUACUAUUCCUCACUCAUUUCAAGCAGAGUAAAUAUUCAAGGCCUUUGUGCUUGUGCUUGUCUCUGUCUUUGUUCUGUGCGUGGGCCAGGCUGUGUGUUAGGUUGUUAGAUUAGGCCUUCUGAGAUUCCCAAACUCCCCACAGACCCACCUGUGAGAGGGGUUCCUACUGUGUGGAAACUUUUUUCUCCUUCAUGACUCCCUCCUCAGGACAGGUCUGUGUCCCUAACUCUUUUGACUCUCUUUUUGCCUUUUAUAAGCUAGCUGGCUACCUACCAGCCCCUACCUGUCUUU